rnacentral:lncRNA from 1 species
AUAUACAAAAUGUGAGGUUCUCGACUGUUGCUAAUCAACUGCACCUUAGGAUUCGAGGACUACGACAACAGAGUGAGACGGAGAGGCUUCAGCGAGGAGAGAUAGAUGGGUGGUAGACAACUUCUAUCUAGCUAGUUAUAUACUAAUGAAGAAUAUCUGAUUCAAUAUAUAUUAUCUUGUAUAUUGUAAAUCUGAUAUCCACACUUGGAGUUAACAAUUUUGUAUCAACUGUGUCGGUGUUUGUACUUGAAGACAAUCUCCAUCUCUUGAAUGCUACCAUUUUUUAGAGUUCUGUACUCAACUUGUAGCGUGUUCAUUUUAAAAUUCUGGUUGUCGAACAACAUGCUAUUAUGGGUCAGACAAAUGUUGAUGGCAAAUUUAUUGUCAUAGAAAAAUGAUUACAAAUAUCUAUUAGCCUUUACCCAACCUAUAUAUUCGUUAUAAAUACCGUAUUAUGAUU